UUUUGAGGGAAAACCCCUACAUUCUUCCAGUACCUCUCAUCUGUAUUUGGCUAGAGGUGUCUUGUGUGCUUGAGGGUGUCUGUCAAAACAGCAGCCAGCUCUGUGUUCCUGUCUCCCUGAUUUCAGAAUCAAACUUGCAUUUCUCACUUGUCCAAAACUAAAGGCAUUGUGAGCUGUUUGUAUGUAUGUCGCUGUAUUUAUUUAGCCUUUAGCCUGUUAGAUCCCUGUGCUCUACUGAUUGUUCUGCAACAAAUAACAUUCUGAAGUGAAAGCACAGAGUGCCUAAGGUUAAGACUCUUUCCUGCUUUUCAAAAUUGUAAUGCAAAUACAGGUACAAAGUCCUGCAGAAACCUGGUCUUUUUAAGGUAGUGCACAUGCAUACUGCAGCUCAGCCCUCAAACACCUGGAGAGAAAAGUGAAAAGGUGACAGAUUUGGAACCUCAGCUGAGCUGAGUGUAUCUGUGUGUCUCACACCAUGUCCUACAAGAGCUACCACAUCUGUGUGAUGCCCUAAGCACAAAGACCUACGUUACUACACCUGUGAUUCCACACAUGGGCCUUAUUCUGACAGCAUUGACUGUGGAACAGGGGAACCUUCCAGCACAGGAGCAUGCUUAUGCUAAAAAAUAACAAAGCAGAAUAGGAGGUACAGCCAGAACAUCAACUGGUACUUCCUGGCUCUACAGGCUGGCCAGGCAUACAGGUACUUCUUGCAUGCUGCUCCAGCCUCAAGCCUCAACAGAAAGAUUGUGUAAUAUAGACACAGUUUACUCACUUUAGUAUAUAAUUAGAAUAAUGAAGUAAUUCAAGACAUAAUGGUCCAGUGAUCAAAGGUAGGAUAAUAAGGAGAACAUCAUCAAAAGAGAGCGCUGAAUUACAGCUGUAGGGACGGGACAGGAAUAUAGUAACUUUUCCCCAUUGUUUACAUAGGAUCUUCUUCUAAUGUAUGGCCUUAGCAAAAAUGAAACACAGUAUCCUGGGCGUGGGCUUUUGUUACUGAACUAGCUGAGAUCUUCUGACAUAAUGAAAGCAAACUAGUUACUUGAUAAAAAAGCUGUAUAUCUAGGACAGCAUAACUGGGAUUGCUUAAUGUACAUAGGAGGAAGAAAAUGUUUGCCUUUUCUACCAGGAAAAUGAUCUUCUGGAAACUCCAGGUCAGCCAAAUGGUUGAAAGGAUCUGUAAUCAAUUCUGGUUGAAGUGUGUUCUUGUUAAUGGAUCUGGUACUUCAUGAGGAUGGAAAAGAGAGGAAUAAGGCCAUUCUUUAUAUGGCUUCAUGGUAGCCUAUAAAAUACAGAAAUUAUAUCUACUUCUUCAUGUAAGUUUGAGCUGCCUUAUGGAAAAAAAACUAUGUUGUGCUAUAUUUUGCUGUGUGUCCCUUAAGCCCUAGAAAGCAGAGACCAUCUCUCAGGCAGUAUUUUCCAUUCCAGCUCAGUUGUACAGUAAAAAUUUACCAGAACGAGCUUGUUUUUAAUGUGUAUCACAUCUGAAAAAGAUCCCAACCCUUACUUAAUUCAGCUCCUGAAUGUUUUUUGAAACACUGACAUUUAAGUGAGGUAGAUGUUUCCUUACAAGAUGUGUGGGCUUAUGAAGAACACACACCAAAAGUUAACAGACAUGACUCCUGUAGCCUUAGCCAAGAAAUAGGCUGCAGAAUACACUGACUAUAUACAUUCAUUUAGGAAACAUUCUUCUUUAUGCCCAACUAACUGUAGUUAACUUCUCUUAUCACCUGGUAACAUACAGAGAAGUCCAUUGAACCAUAGAAAAUAAGAAGUAGAAAAAGAAGUCUGUUUAAUGUUGGGGAUUAAUAUACGGCAAAACUGCAAAGCAAUGGAGGAAACCCUGAAUAUAGGGGAAGAAGUAUUUGAAUGUCUGCCUUCUAGUUCUUGCUGCUGUCUUGAUAAGCUUCAGCAUAUUUUGAAUCACAUCUACCUCCAGUACCACUCAGAGUUCAUCCUAGUGCCAAGAAAACAAACAAGUUAAUCUGAAAGUACAAAUACAAUA